rnacentral:rRNA from 1 species
AGUGAACGCUGGCGGUAGGCCUAACACAUGCAAGUCGAACGGCAGCACAGUAAGAGCUUGCUCUUACGGGUGGCGAGUGGCGGACGGGUGAGGAAUACAUCGGAAUCUACUUUUUCGUGGGGGAUAACGUAGGGAAACUUACGCUAAUACCGCAUACGACCUACGGGUGAAAGCAGGGGAUCUUCGGACCUUGCGCGAUUGAAUGAGCCGAUGUCGGAUUAGCUAGUUGGCGGGGUAAAGGCCCACCAAGGCGACGAUCCGUAGCUGGUCUGAGAGGAUGAUCAGCCAAAAUGGAAAUGAGACAAGGUCCAGACUCCUACGGGAGGCAGCAGUGGGGAAUAUUGGACAAUGGGCGCAAGCCUGAUCCAGCCAUACCGCGUGGGUGAAGAAGGCCUUCGGGUUGUAAAGCCCUUUUGUUGGGAAAGAAAAGCAGCAGGUUAAUACCCCGCUGUUCUGACGGUACCCAAAGAAUAAGCACCGGCUAACUUCGUG